UACGUAGGGUGCGAGCGUUGUCCGGAAUUACUGGGCGUAAAGAGCUCGUAGGUGGUUUGUCGCGUUGUUCGUGAAAACUCACAGCUCAACUGUGGGCGUGCGGGCGAUACGGGCAGACUGGAGUACUGCAGGGGAGACUGGAAUUCCUGGUGUAGCGGUGGAAUGCGCAGAUAUCAGGAGGAACACCGGUGGCGAAGGCGGGUCUCUGGGCAGUAACUGACGUGGAGG
rnacentral:rRNA from 1 species